rnacentral:rRNA from 1 species
AUUGAACGCUGGCGGCAGGCCUAACACAUGCAAGUCGAGCGAGCGGCGGACGGGUGAGUAAUGUAUGGGGAACUGCCUGAUAGCGGGGGAUAACUACUGGAAACGGUAGCUAAUACCGCAUACUAGCGGAUGGACCCAUAUGGGUUGAGCUAGUAGGUGGGGUAACGGCUAACCUAGGCGACGAUCCAUAGCUAGUCUGCGAGGAUGAUCAGCAAAACUGGUACGGCGACACGGCCCAGAAUCCCACGGUAGGAAGCAGUGGGGAAUAUUGCACAAUGGGCGCAAGCCUGAUGCAUCCAUGCCGCGUGUAUGAAGAAGGCCUUAGGGUUGUAAAGUACUUUCAGCGGGGAGGCGUUACCCGCAGAAGAAGCACCGGCUAACGACGUGCCAGCAGCCGCGGUAAUAC